UGUUCUGUAGCUUAGUUGGUUAAAGCGCCGGUCUAGCGUACAUGGAGUACGUGUCGUGAGUCGUGAGUUCGAGUCUCACUAAAACGC
rnacentral:tRNA from 1 species